AUUGAACGCUGGCGGCAUGCUUUACACAUGCAAGUCGAACGAGUGGCGAACGGGUGAGUAAUAUAUCGGAACGUACCGAGUAAUGGGGGAUAACCAAUCGAAAGAUUGGCUAAUACCGCAUAUUAUUCGAGCGGCCGAUAACUGAUUAGCUAGUUGGUGGGGUAAAGGCCUACCAAGGCGACGAUCAGUAGCGGGUCUGAGAGGACGAUCCGCAACACUGGGACUGAGACACGGCCCAGACUCCUACGGGAGGCAGCAGUGGGGAAUUUUGGACAAUGGGCGCAAGCCUGAUGCAGCCAUGCCGCGUGUAUGAAGAAGGCUUUCGAGUCGUAAAGUUCUUUUAUAUGGGAAGCGGUACCAUAAGAAAAAGCCCCGGCUAACUACGUGCCAGCAGCCGCGGUAAUAC
rnacentral:rRNA from 1 species